UUUCCGUAGGUGGACCUGCGGAAGGAUCAUUCAUAAUAAAGUGUUUUAUGGCACUUUUUAAAAAUCCAUAUCCACCUUGUGUGCAAUGUUAGAUCUCGUCAAUCUUGGCGAGAUUUUUAUACAUCAACUCAUUCUUUAACUAAUUUGUCUGAAAAAUAUUAUGAAUACUUAAUUCAAAAUACAACUUUCAACAACGGAUCUCUUGGCUCAC
rnacentral:misc_RNA from 1 species